rnacentral:ncRNA from 1 species
AGGAAUGCAGAGAAAAGAAGAGUAAGAAGAGUGCUUCAUGUGCAGAGACUCCCGGAAGCUGAAAAGGGAGCUUGAGGUCCUUCCCAACAUGGUCUUGGAGCAGCAGAGCCGAAGUGGCGGUUACCGCCUUUAAGCUUUGACGGUUACACCCGUUAUCGUGUCAGACUGUAAUCCCGUUUUGGAUGGGAGCGCAGCCGAUGAGGUCCGUGUCGCGAGGUACGGACAAAUUAAAGUGGUAACACGGGAACUAUUCCGUCUUUAAG